rnacentral:rRNA from 1 species
AAUGGACGAAAGUCUGAUGCAGCGACGCCGCGUGAGGGAUGAAGGCCUUCGGGUUGUAAACCUUUUUCGCUCCUGACCAAGGCCAGUUUGUGUGCUGGUUGAGGGUAGGGGGUAAAGAAGCUCCGGCUAACUACGUGCCAGCAGCCGCGGUAAUACGUAGGGAGCGAGCGUUGUCCGGAUUUAUUGGGCGUAAAGGGCUUGUAGGUGGCGUGUCGCGUCUGUCGUGAAAGGCUCCGGCUUAACUGGGGUAGUGCGGUGGGUACGGGCAUGCUUGAGUGUGGUAGGGGAGAUUGGAAUUCCUGGUGUAGCGGUGGAAUGCGCAGAUAUCAGGAGGAACACCGGUGGCGAAGGCGGAUCUCUGGGCCAUUACUGACGCUGAGGAGCGAAAGCGUGGGGAGCGAA